CAGUAGCCACGGUAAUACAGAGGGUGCGAGCGUUAAUCGGAUUUACUGGGCGUAAAGCGUGCGUAGGCGGCUUUUUAAGUCGGAUGUGAAAUCCCUGAGCUUAACUUAGGAAUUGCAUUCGAUACUGGGAAGAUAGAGUAUGGGAGAGGAUGGUAGAAUUACAGGUGUAGCGGUGAAAUGCGUAGAGAUCUGGAGGAAUACCGAUGGCGAAGGCAGCCAUCUGGCCUAAUACUGACGCUGAGGUACGAAAGCAUGGGGAGCAAACAGGAUUAGAUACCCCCGUAGUCCCUGUCUCUUAUAC
rnacentral:rRNA from 1 species